rnacentral:rRNA from 1 species
AUUGAACGCUGGCGGCAGGCCUAACACAUGCAAGUCGAACGAGUGGCGGAGGGGUGAGUAAUGUCUGGGAAACUGCCUGAUGGAGGGGGAUAACUACUGGAAACGGUAGCUAAUACCGCAUACCAUCAGAUGUGCCCACAUGGGUUUCACUUGUUGGUGGGGUAACGGCUCACCAAGGCGACGAUCCCUAGCGGGUCUGAGGGGCUGACCGGCCACACUGGAACGGAGACACGUUCCGGACUCCUACGGGGGGCAGCAGGGGGAAAUAUUGCACAAUGGGCGCAAGCCUGAUGCGGCCAUGCCGGGUAUAUGAAGAAGGCCUUGGGGUUGUAAAGUACUUUCAGCGGGGAGGCGUUACCGGCAGAAGAAGCACCGGCUAACUCCGUGCCAGCAGCGGCGUAAUAC